rnacentral:rRNA from 1 species
UACGGGAGGCAGCAGUGGGGAAUAUUGCACAAUGGGCGAAAGCCUGAUGCAGCUAUGCCGCGUGUAUGAAGAAGGCCUUAGGGUUGUAAAGUACUUUCAGCAGGGGAGGAAAGAAAUAAAACUAAUAAUUUUAUUUUGUGACGUUACCUGAAGAAGAAGCACCGGCUAACUCCGUGCCAGCAGCCGCGGGUAAUACGGAGGGUGCAAGCGUUAAUCAGAAUUACUGGGCGUAAAGAGCGCGUAGGUGGUUUUUUUAAGUCAGAUGUGAAAUCCCUAGGCUUAACCUAGGAACUGCAUUUUGAAACUGAAAAACUAGAGUAUCGUAGAGGGAGGUAGAAUUCUAGGUGUAGCGGUGAAAUGCGUAGAUAUCUGGAGGAAUACCUGUGGCGAAAGCGGCCUCCUAAACGAAUACUGACACUGAGGUGCGAAAGCGUGGGGAGCAAACAGGGAUUAGAUACC